UACAGAGGGGGCAAGCGUUGUUCGGAAUUACUGGGCGUAAAGGGCGCGUAGGCGGCCUUCUAAGUCGAACGUGAAAUCCCCGGGCUCAACCCGGGAACUGCGUCCGAUACUGGAAGGCUUGAAUCCGGGAGAGGGAUGCGGAAUUCCAGGUGUAGCGGUGAAAUGCGUAGAUAUCUAGAGGAACGCCAAAGGUGAAGACAGGCGGCUGGGCCGAUUCUGACGCUGAGGCACGAAAGCGUGGGGAGCAAACAGG
rnacentral:rRNA from 1 species